GAGCUUACUAUUGCAAUCACAAUUACAUAUCCUGAUCUGUUUCAGAACGGUCUGUGGUCGUUUUAAAAUGCCCAGAAUGUGUUGGUUUUGAUGGAGUUGCCCACAGUGUUUUGUGGUUACCUCUCAAUGGCCACAAAGCGAAAUAAUGGUGAGCGUUGGUGUUUGGUCAUUUGGAACUGGCCAUGAUGCAUUGUGGCUGUUUUUUUUUAUCAUUGCGAGAUUUUGGUGUUUGGGCAUAAUAUGUAUGUAUAUAUAUAUAUCAAUAAAACUAGAGAGCAUGAUACUUUUGCAUCUUGGCUGUCAUUUUGAUUUUUCUAAUUUUGUAGCAGACAACAGAAGUUUUCUUACAAUCCAGUUGCAUUAUAUUGAAUAAUUUAAUAAU
rnacentral:lncRNA from 1 species